rnacentral:sRNA from 1 species
GCCGCGCCUAGGCUGAUCCCCGAAUACCGGGCACCUUCCCCGGCUGGCGCGGCCCUCUUUGAAGGG